GAUGAACGCUAGCGGGAGGCUUAACACAUGCAAGUCGAGGGGCAGCAUAGGGUAGCAAUACUCUGAUGGCGACCGGCAAACGGGUGAGUAACGCGUAUGCAACCUACCCUGUACAGGGGGAUAACCCGGAGAAAUUCGGACUAAUAUCCCGUAAUAAUAUCCGGAGGCAUCUUUGGAUAUUUAAAGUUCCGACGGUACGGGAUGGGCAUGCGUAACAUUAACUGGUUGGUAAGGUAACGGCUUACCAAGGCUAUGAUGUUUAGGGGUCCUGAGAGGGUGGCCCCCCACACUGGUACUGAGACACGGACCAGACUCCUACGGGAGGCAGCAGUGAGGAAUAUUGGUCAAUGGGCGCAAGCCUGAACCAGCCAUCCCGCGUGCAGGAAGACGGCCCUAUGGGUUGUAAACUGCUUUUCCAGGGAGAGAAAACUUACGCACGUGUUGCGUGACUGACGGUACCCUGGGAAUAAGCAUCGGCUAACUCCGUGCCAGCAGUCGCGGUAAUCUAGUCUACG
rnacentral:rRNA from 1 species